rnacentral:rRNA from 1 species
UACGGGGGGAGCAAGCGUUGUUCGGAUUUACUGGGCGUAAAGGGCGCGUAGGCGGUCAGCACAAGUCAGUUGUGAAAUCUCCGGGCUUAACCCGGAAAGGUCAACUGAUACUGUGCGACUAGAGUGCGGAAGGGGCAACUGGAAUUCUCGGUGUAGCGGUGAAAUGCGUAGAUAUCGAGAGGAACACCUGCGGCGAAGGCGGCUCACUGGACCGGUACUGACGCUGAGGCGCGAAAGCGUGGGGAGCGAACAGG